UAUAUUAUUACCAGACUGCUACUUGCUUUCGGGCAUGUCUAGCGUACGGUGGGGUUUCGCGUAACAGCGUAUCCUUAAAUUAUCACAUAACGCAUGUGAGCCAGUCCAGUCUGCAACGACGUAUACCGUGUCUCUGUGAGCGGUGUGUGGAAUUACGGCGGGUUGUGUGUCUCAGAUUAAUUUCUCUGGCCCGCCCGAUACCGGAAACCCGCAUUCAGGCGAGCACUUUUCGUCAGCGGUCACGGGUGAUCUAGAGGUUCCUUGCAAAAAUUGUGUUACUCUUGACUUCGGCCUAUAUUGUAAAGCUAAUCAUAAACA
rnacentral:misc_RNA from 1 species